UACGUAGGGUGCAAGCGUUGUCCGGAAUUAUUGGGCGUAAAGAGCUCGUAGGCGGUUUGUCGCGUCGAAUGUGAAAACCCGGGGCUCAACCCCGGGCCUGCAUUCGAUACGGGCAGACUAGAGUUCGGUAGGGGAGUCUGGAAUUCCUGGUGUAGCGGUGAAAUGCGCAGAUAUCAGGAGGAACACCGGUGGCGAAGGCGGGACUCUGGGCCGAUACUGACGCUGAGACGCGAAGGCGUGGGGAGCGAACGGG
rnacentral:rRNA from 1 species